rnacentral:rRNA from 1 species
GCCUACAAUUAUACCAUCCUGACCCUACCUGGUCUCUCCUGGUCUCUAAAGCUAAUCAGAAUCAGAUCUCAUUAGUACUUGGAUAGCGAGAGAUAGUACAGCGGGGAAGGCA